GCCUGGGUGGCUUGGUCGGUUAAGCGUCUGACUUCGGCUCAGGUCAUGAUCUCAUGGUUUGUGGGUUCGAGCGCCACGUCAGGCU
rnacentral:tRNA from 1 species